AUGAGGCAUGCUUGGGGAAAUCCUAGGGGUUUGCUGCUCCAUCCCUACGGGGACAAUGUUUUUGUUGCUGAAUUUGGUACCCAGGCAGAUAGAACCAGGGUGAUCGAAGGCUCGCCUUGGAUGGUGGGAAAACACGUUGUUCUUCUCAAGCUCUUUGAUCUGAACACCCAACCCCUUCGUGUCAAGUUUGAUCGUCUGGCUAUCUGGGCCCGUAUAAUGAACUUUCCACCAUGGUUGAUCAGGGCUAAACUUGGUCUGGAAUUUGCAAAGCCUAUUGGUAGUAUCAUCAUGGUUGACGCUGAUUCUGACGGGUGCUGCUGGGGUGGAUAUAUGCGUGUUCGGGUGGAGAUUUCUGUUGGCGACCCACUCGUGCGUUAUGUGACAGUGACCUCAGUCAAGCUUCAGUCGACGGACACUUAUUCGGUGAUGUAUGAGAGACUGCCCUUUCAUUGCUUCUCGUGUGGCCUCCUUGGCCAUUCUUCUGUCCUAUGCCCAUCUCCAGGCUUCAGGGAUAUGAAUGGGGACCUGCCAUAUGCGGCUAAGAAGAUCUGUGUCCUAGAUGAGACUCACAAAAGGUCUGGUGGAUCGAAGUCCUCGAUGGCUUCCUCGUCCACGGGUUCUGAAAACAAGGCCGGCGGUCCUCGGCCUGCUCCCUCUGGUUGUGCUAGAGCUGUUGCCUCUAUGGACUCGGCGGCGGCUGAGGGUGAGGUCUCAUCCCCUGUCAAAAGAGCUGGAAGGGGCCGUGGUCGAGCCCCCUCCUCCCGAGGGCGAGGGAGAGGAUGA
rnacentral:rRNA from 1 species